rnacentral:rRNA from 1 species
UUUAUGGAGAGUUUGAUCCUGGCUCAGAACGAACGCUGGCGGCGUGGAUUAGGCAUGCAAGUCGAACGGAGUACUUAGCUUUUUCGAGUACUUAGUGGCGAAAGGGUGAGUAACACGUGGGUUACCUGCCCUCGGGAUCGGGAUAACCCGUCGAAAGACGGGCUAAUACCGGAUAUGCCUCUGGAUCUUAAUUGAUUUGGAGGGAAAGAUGGGGAUCCGUAAGGACCUAUCACCCUUGGAUGGGCCCGCGGCCUAUCAGCUAGUUGGUGAGGUAAUGGCUCACCAAGGCUAAGACGGGUAGCUGGUCUGAGAGGAUGGUCAGCCACACUGGGA